UCCUGCUUCAGAAAUGUCCUGUGAAACUCGC
rnacentral:piRNA from 1 species